AAUUGAGACAGGUGGUGCAUGGUUGUCGUCAGCUCGUGCCGUGAGGUGUCGGGUUAAGUCCCAUAACGAGCGCAACCCCUACCUUUAGUUGCCAUCAGGUUAAGCUGGGGACUCUAAGGAACUGCCUACGCAAGUAGUGAGGAAGGCGGGGAGUGACGUCAAAUCAGCACGGCCCUUACGUCCAGGGCUACACACGUGCUACAAUGGCCGAUACAGAGGGCAGCUACCUGGUGACAGGAUGCAAAUCUCCAAAGUCGGUCUCAGUUCGGAUCGGAGUCUGCAACCCGACUCCGUGAAGUUGGAUUCGCUAGUAAUCGCGCAUCAGCCAUGGCGCGGUGAAUACGUUCCCGGGCCUU
rnacentral:rRNA from 1 species